rnacentral:rRNA from 1 species
ACACGAACUACGAGUUUGAUCAUGGCUCAGGAUGAACGCUAGCGGCAGGCCUAACACAUGCAAGUCGAGGGGUAUAGUUCUUCGGAACUAGAGACCGGCGCACGGGUGCGUAACGCGUAUGCAAUCUACCUUUUACAGGGGAAUAGCCCAGAGAAAUUUGGAUUAAUGCCCCAUAGUGUUAUAGAAUCGCAUGGUUUUAUAACUAAAGUUCCAACGGUAAAAGAUGAGCAUGCGUCCCAUUAGUUAGUUGGUAAGGUAACGGCUUACCAAGACAAUGAUAGGUAGGGGUCCUGAGAGGGAGAUCCCCCACACUGGUACUGAGACACGGACCAGACUCCUACGGGAGGCAGCAGUGAGGAAUAUUGGACAAUGGGCGCAAGCCUGAUCCAGCCAUGCCGCGUGCAGGAAGACGGUCCUAUGGAUUGUAAACUGCUUUUGUACAGGAAGAAACACUCCCUCGUGAGGGAGCUUGACGGUACUGUAAGAAUAAGGAUCGGCUAACUCCGUG